UACGAAGGGGGCUAGCGUUGUUCGGAAUUACUGGGCGUAAAGCGCGCGCAGGCGGUCUUCCAAGUCAGUGGUGAAAGCCCGGGGCUCAACUCCGGAACUGCCAUUGAAACUGUUGGACUUGAGUACGAGAGAGGUGAGUGGAAUUCCCAGUGUAGAGGUGAAAUUCGUAGAUAUUGGGAAGAACACCGGUGGCGAAGGCGGCUCACUGGCUCGUAACUGACGCUCAGGCGCGACAGCGUGGGGAUCAAACAGG
rnacentral:rRNA from 1 species